AACGUAGGAGACAGACGUUAUCCGGAGUUACUGGGCGUAAAGGGCGUGUAGGUGGUUAUGUAAGUCUGGCGUGAAAUUUUUCGGCUUAACCGGGAAAGGUCGUCGGAUACUGCACAACUAGAGGACGGUAGAGGCGUGUGGAAUUCCGGGUGUAGUGGUGAAAUGCGUAGAGAUCCGGAGGAACACCAGUGGCGAAGGCGACACGCUGGGCCGUACCUGACACUGAUGCGCGACAGCAUGGGGAGCAAACAGG
rnacentral:rRNA from 1 species